rnacentral:lncRNA from 1 species
CCGGUAGCAACCAGGUGCCGGAACAUCUGUAAGGCGGCCGUUCACCGAACACCUUUGUGGAGAGGUUCCCCCCCAUCGGAGUUUAAGGCAGGUAGAGCAGCUGGGAAGCCACGGGAAGAUGAGCUGCCGUUUUUCUCUCCCAACGGAAGGUUCCUGAGUUGGCGAAGUACUUAAGAAUGGAGUCUGAAGGGGUCCCAAUGAUUCAAAACGUAUGCCAAGAGAUGUCCCAGCGAAGUCUCACAGCGAGUUAGUGUUUCAGUCUCCAUCACUUGCCGUAUGUUACCUCGAGCAGAAACAGGAAAUGCCACCUGAGAUAAGGGAUUUAUGACAAUGCUGUCUGAAGACGAUAAUUUCAGGUAUAAACCCAACUCAAUUUGAAUGUUAGAGCCAUGAUGAGGUCA